UGAGGAAUUUUGCGCAAUGGGGGGAACCCUGACGCAGCAACGCCGCGUGGGUGAUGAAGGCCUUCGGGUCGUAAAGCCCUGUCGGGCGGGAAGAACGUCCCUUCGGGGAAUGACGGUACCGCCAGAGGAAGCACCGGCUAACUCCGUGCCAGCAGCCGCGGUAAUACGGAGGGUGCAAGCGUUAUUCGGAAUUACUGGGCGUAAAGGGCGUGCAGGCGGGAGGGCAAGUCGGAUGUGAAAGCCCGGGGCUUAACCCCGGAAGGGCAUUGGAAACUGCUUUUCUUGAGUUCUGGAGAGGAGGGGGGAAUUCCCGGUGUAGAGGUGAAAUUCGUAGAGAUCGGGAGGAACAUCAGUGGCGAAGGCGCCCUUCUGGACAGCAACUGACGCUGAGACGCGAAAGCGUGGGGAGCAAACA
rnacentral:rRNA from 1 species